UACGUAGGGUGCGAGCGUUGUCCGGAAUUAUUGGGCGUAAAGGGUGCGCAGGCGGUUCGUUGUGUCGGCGGUGAAAGCCCCGGGCUCAACCUGGGAAUGGCCGUUGAAACUGGCGAACUGGAGUGUGGCAGAGGGGGUGGAAUUCCGCGUGUAGCAGUGAAAUGCGUAGAGAUGCGGAGGAACACCGAUGGCGAAGGCAGCCCCUGGGCUGACACUGACGCUCAGGCACGAAAGCGUGGGGAGCAAACAGG
rnacentral:rRNA from 1 species